GAAAACCACUGGAAGUAGCGUUUUGCCCAUGAACGUACAAGGUUGUUGGGGGAGAGCACGCUGCUUUUGUCCGCCUUGUGGGAACCCAAAUUAAAACGAAAGUUCCCGGACAUUACGGUUCAUGGGAAUUAGUGCCUAAACAAUACAAGGAUCAGGUCCUUGGCAUAAUUCAGUACUAUUAUCAAAUAGCGGGCCGCGAGGAUUUCUUAAAGUGUUUAGAUGGUAUCGAUUGAGAGAUGAAAGACCGAUACCGUAAUAGGAAAACACUAAGACACGAACACUUUGAGAAACACUACAAUGGAUCGGAGGAUUGGGAUAAGGUUUUAAACAACCCAACCAAUGAUGUUAACAAGGAGGAGUGGAAGCAGAUCUGUCAGUUAUUUACAAGUCCACAAUUUAUUGCGCGCUCCAUAAAGAAUAAGGAAAAUCGGAAGAAACAAAAGUAUUCUACAACGCAGGGUACAAAAUCGCUGGCAGCCAUCCGUUUUGAAAAAACGAACCCGGACCUCAUUGAGUCAUGGAAGGAUUAUCAUUGGAAGAAAGCAACAAAUGAUUUCGUGAACGAUG